AAGUGGGGGACCUUCGGGCCUCACGCCAUCAGAUGUACCCAGAUGAGAUUAGCUAGUAGGUGGGGUAAUGGCUCACCUAGGCUAUGAUCUCUAGCUGGUCUGAGAGGAUGACCAGCCACACUGGAACUGAGACACGGUCUAGACUCCUACGGGAGGCAGCAGUGGGGAAUAUUGCACAAUGGGCGCAAGCCUGAUGCAGCCAUGCCGCGUGUAUGAAGAAAGCCUUCGGGUUGUAAAGUACUUUCAGCAAGAAAGAAAGUAUUUUAGUUAAUAACUAAAAUAAUUGACGUUACUUGCAAAAGAAGCACCGGCUAACUCCGUGCCAGCAGCCGCGGUAAUACGGAGGGUGCGAGCGUUAAUCGGAAUUACUGGGCUUAAAGCGUACGUAGGCGGUUAAUUAAGUUAGAUGUGAAAUCCCCGAGCUUAACUUGGGAAUUGCAUUUAAAACUGGUUAGCUAGAGUCUUGUAGAGGGGGGUAGAAUUCUAGGUGUAGCGGUGAAAUGCGUAGAUAUCUAGAGGAAUACCAGUGGCGAAGGCGGCCCCCUGGACAAAGACUGACGCUCAGGUACGAAAGCGUGGGGAGCAAACAGGAUUAGAUACCCUGGUAGUCCACGCCGUAAACGAUGUCGACUUGGAGGUUGUGCCCUUGAGGUGUGGCUUCCGGAGCUAACGCGUUAAGUCGACCGCCUGGGGAGUACGGCCGCAAGGCUAAAACUCAAAUGAAUUGACGGGGGCCCGCACAAGCGGUGGAGCAUGUGGUUUAAUUCGAUGCAACGCGAAAAACCUUACCUACUCUUGACAUUCAGAGAAUUUGCUAGAGAUAGCUUAGUGCCUUCGGGAGCUUUGAAACAGGUGCUGCAUGGCUGUCGUCAGCUCGUGUUGUGAAAUGUUGGGUUAAGUCCCGCAACGAGCGCAACCCUUGUCCUUUGUUGCCAGCACGUAAAGGUGGGAACUCAAAGGAGACUGCCGGUGAUAAGCUGGAGGAAGGUGGGGAUGACGUCAAGUCAUCAUGGCCCUUACGAGUAGGGCUACACACGUGCUACAAUGGCAUAUACAAAGAGCAGCAAACUCGCGAGAGCAAGCGAACCUCCUAAAGUAUGUCGUAAUCCGGAUUGGAGUCUGCAACUCGACUCCAUGAAGUCGGAAUCGCUAGU
rnacentral:rRNA from 1 species